GGCUACCUUGUUACGACUUACGGCUACCUGAGCCAGGAUCAAACUCUAGAGUUUGAUCCUGGCUCAGAUUGAACGCUGGCGGAAUGCUUUACACAUGCAAGUCGAACGGCAGCACGGGUGCUUGCACCUGGUGGCGAGUGGCGAACGGGUGAGUAAUGCGUCGGAACGUACCGAGUAAUGGGGGAUAACGCGGCGAAAGUCGCGCUAAUACCGCAUACGCCCUGAGGGGGAAAGUGGGGGAUCGCAAGACCUCACGUUAUUCGAGCGGCCGACGUCUGAUUAGCUAGUUGGUGGGGUAAAGGCCUACCAAGGCGACGAUCAGUAGCGGGUCUGAGAGGAUGAUCCGCCACACUGGGACUGAGACACGGCCCAGACUCCUACGGGAGGCAGCAGUGGGGAAUUUUGGACAAUGGGGGCAACCCUGAUCCAGCCAUUCCGCGUGAGUGAAGAAGGCCUUCGGGUUGUAAAGCUCUUUCAGCUGGAACGAAACGGUACGCCCUAACAUAGCGUGCUAAUGACGGUACCGGCAGAAGAAGCACCGGCUAACUACGUGCCAGCAGCCGCGGUAAUACGUAGGGUGCGAGCGUUAAUCGGAAUUACUGGGCGUAAAGCGUGCGCAGGCGGAUUGUUAAGCAAGACGUGAAAGCCCCGGGCUUAACCUGGGAAUGGCGUUUUGAACUGGCAGUCUAGAGUGCGUCAGAGGGGGGUGGAAUUCCACGUGUAGCAGUGAAAUGCGUAGAGAUGUGGAGGAACACCAAUGGCGAAGGCAGCCCCCUGGGAUGACACUGACGCUCAUGUACGAAAGCGUGGGUAGCAAACAGGAUUAGAUACCCUGGUAGUCCACGCCCUAAACGAUGUCAACUGGUUGUUGGGGGAGUGAAAUCCCUUAGUAACGAAGCUAACGCGUGAAGUUGACCGCCUGGGGAGUACGGGUCGCAAGAUUAAAACUCAAAGGAAUUGACGGGGACCCGCACAAGCGGUGGAUGAUGUGGAUUAAUUCGAUGCAACGCGAAAAACCUUACCUACCCUUGACAUGUCCAGGAUCCUGCAGAGAUGCGGGGAGUGCCCGAAGGGAAUGGGACACAGUGCUGCAUGGCUGUCGUCAGCUCGUGUCGUGAGAUGUUGGGUAGUCCCGCACGGAGCGCAACCUUAUCAUAGUGCCUACGCAGGUCACUUCUUAUUGAGACUUGCCGGGGUGACCAAACCGAGA
rnacentral:rRNA from 1 species